CAGCAGCCGCGGUAAUACGUAGGGUGCAAGCGUUAAUCGGAAUUACUGGGCGUAAAGCGUGCGCAGGCGGUUCGCUAAGACAGAUGUGAGAUCCCCGGGCUUAACCUGGGAACUGCAUUUGUGACUGGCGGGCUAGAGUAUGGCAGAGGGGGGUAGAAUUCCACGUGUAGCAGUGAAAUGCGUAGAGAUGUGGAGGAAUACCGAUGGCGAAGGCAGCCCCCUGGGCCAAUACUGACGCUCAUGCACGAAAGCGUGGGGAGCAAACAGGAUUAGAUACCCGUGUAGUCCCUGUCUCUUAUAC
rnacentral:rRNA from 1 species